rnacentral:rRNA from 1 species
UUGGUUAAGUUAGAAAGGGCGCACGGUGGAUGCCUUGGCACUAGGAGCCGAAGAAGGACGGGACUAACACCGAUAUGCUUUGGGGAGCUGUACGUAAGCGUUGAUCCAGAGAUUUCCGAAUGGGGGAACCCACUAUCUUUAGUCGGAUAGUAUCCUUACGUGAAUACAUAGCGUAAGGAAGGCAGACCCAGGGAACUGAAACAUCUAAGUACCUGGAGGAAGAGAAAGAAAAAUCGAUUUCCUGAGUAGCGGCGAGCGAAACGGAAAGAGCCCAAACCAAGAAGCUUGCUUCUUGGGGUUGUAGGACACUCUAUACGGAGUUACAAAAGAAAGUUAUAAAUGAAGCGGUCUGGAAAGGCCCGCCAAAGACGGUAACAGCCCGGUAGUUGAAAUGGCUUUCCCUCCAGAGUGGAUCCUGAGUACGGCGGAACACGUGAAAUUCCGUCGGAAUCCGGGAGGACCAUCUCCCAAGGCUAAAUACUCCCUAGUGACCGAUAGUGAACCAGUACCGUGAGGGAAAGGUGAAAAGCACCCCGGAAGGGGAGUGAAACAGUUCCUGAAACCGUGUGCCUACAAGUAGUUAGAGCCCGUUAAUGGGUGAUAGCGUGCCUUUUGUAGAAUGAACCGGCGAGUUACGAUUUGUUGCAAGGUUAAGCGGAAAAAGCGGAGCCGUAGCGAAAGCGAGUCUGAAUAGGGCGCAUAAGUAACAGGUCGUAGACCCGAAACCAGGUGAUCUACCCAUGUCCAGGAUGAAGGUAAGGUAAUACUUACUGGAGGUCCGAACCCACGCACGUUGAAAAGUGCGGGGAUGAGGUGUGGGUAGCGGAGAAAUUCCAAUCGAACUUGGAGAUAGCUGGUUCUCUCCGAAAUAGCUUUAGGGCUAGCCUCGAGGUAAAGAGUCAUGGAGGUAGAGCACUGUUUGGACUAGGGGCCCUUCUCGGGUUACCGAAUUCAGAUAAACUCCGAAUGCCAUGUACUUAUACUCGGGAGUCAGACUGCGAGUGAUAAGAUCCGUAGUCGAAAGGGAAACAGCCCAGACCACCAGUUAAGGUCCCCAAAUAUAUGUUAAGUGGAAAAGGAUGUGGGGUUGCUUAGACAACCAGGAUGUUGGCUUAGAAGCAGCCACCAUUGAAAGAGUGCGUAAUAGCUCACUGGUCGAGUGACCCCGCGCCGAAAAUGUACCGGGGCUAAACAUAUUACCGAAACUGUGGAUGAACCUCUUCGGAGGUUCGUGGUAGGAGAGCGUUCUAAGGGCGGUGAAGUCAGACCGGAAGGACUGGUGGAGCGCUUAGAAGUGAGAAUGCCGGUAUGAGUAGCGAAAGAAGGGUGAGAAUCCCUUCCACCGAAUAUCUAAGGUUUCCUGAGGAAGGCUCGUCCGCUCAGGGUUAGUCGGGACCUAAGCCGAGGCCGAUAGGCGUAGGCGAUGGACAACAGGUAGAGAUUCCUGUACCAGUGCUAAUUGUUUAACCGAUGGGGUGACACAGAAGGAUAGGGAAUCGCACGAAUGGAAAUGUGCGUCCAAGCAGUGAGUGUGAGAAGUAGGCAAAUCCGCUUCUCGCGAAGCAUGAGCUGUGAUGGGGAAGGAAAUUAAGUACGGAAGUUCCUGAUUUCACGCUGUCAAGAAAAGCCUCUAGGAAGAGUAGUACUGCCCGUACCGCAAACCGACACAGGUAGAUGAGGAGAGAAUCCUAAGGUGAGCGAGAGAACUCUCGUUAAGGAACUCGGCAAAAUGACCCCGUAACUUCGGGAGAAGGGGUGCUCUAUUAGGGUGCAAGCCCGAGAGAGCCGCAGUGAAUAGGCCCAGGCGACUGUUUAGCAAAAACACAGGUCUCUGCAAAACCGUAAGGUGACGUAUAGGGGCUGACGCCUGCCCGGUGCUGGAAGGUUAAGAGGAGUGCUUAGCUUCGGCGAAGGUACGAAUUGAAGCCCCAGUAAACGGCGGCCGUAACUAUAACGGUCCUAAGGUAGCGAAAUUCCUUGUCGGGUAAGUUCCGACCCGCACGAAAGGCGCAACGAUCUGGGCACUGUCUCAACGAGAGACUCGGUGAAAUUAUAGUACCUGUGAAGAUGCAGGUUACCCGCGACAGGACGGAAAGACCCCGUGGAGCUUUACUGCAACCUGAUAUGGAAUGUUUGUACCGCUUGUACAGGAUAGGUAGGAGCCGAAGAGACGUGUGCGCUAGCAUACGAGGAGGCAAUGGUGGGAUACUACCCUG